GGCAGCACAGGAGAGCUUGCUCUCUGGGUGGCGAGUGGCGGACGGGUGAGGAAUACAUCGGAAUCUACUUUUUCGUGGGGGAUAACGUAGGGAAACUUACGCUAAUACCGCAUACGACCUACGGGUGAAAGCAGGGGAUCUUCGGACCUUGCGCGAUUGAAUGAGCCGAUGUCGGAUUAGCUAGUUGGCGGGGUAAAGGCCCACCAAGGCGACGAUCCGUAGCUGGUCUGAGAGGAUGAUCAGCCACACUGGAACUGAGACACGGUCCAGACUCCUACGGGAGGCAGCAGUGGGGAAUAUUGGACAAUGGGCGCAAGCCUGAUCCAGCCAUACCGCGUGGGUGAAGAAGGCCUUCGGGUUGUAAAGCCCUUUUGUUGGGAAAGAAAUCCAGCUGGCUAAUACCCGGUUGGGAUGACGGUACCCAAAGA
rnacentral:rRNA from 1 species